rnacentral:rRNA from 1 species
AUUGAACGCUGGCGGCAUGCCUUACACAUGCAAGUCGAACGGCAGCACGGGAGCAAUCCUGGUGGCGAGUGGCGAACGGGUGAGUAAUAUAUCGGAACGUGCCCAGUCGUGGGGGAUAACGUAGCGAAAGCUACGCUAAUACCGCAUACGAUCUAUGGAUGAAAGCGGGGGAUCGCAAGACCUCGCGCGAUUGGAGCGGCCGAUAUCAGAUUAGGUAGUUGGUGAGGUAAAGGCUCACCAAGCCGACGAUCUGUAGCUGGUCUGAGAGGACGACCAGCCACACUGGGACUGAGACACGGCCCAGACUCCUACGGGAGGCAGCAGUGGGGAAUUUUUGGACAAUGGGCGCAAGCCUGAUCCAGCAAUGCCGCGUGCAGGAUGAAGGCCUCGGUUGUAACGUUAGUACGUUUGUUACGG